AGGUACGUAUUAGUAUCUAACAAAGCACAACGUAAGUCUAUUGAGAGAAGAAAAUCGCUCGCUUCAAAACGUUAUUUUUAUAAGAAUUAACUGCCGCCUGGUCUGCCAUAAUCUGCGUUUUCAUCGCAAAGCACCUGAAGGUUGUGUUGGCUUGCGAAACUGUGGAAAAGAAUUCACUUGUGCCAAAGAUAGCACAACCACUUAGGAUACGUCGACACCAUGAAAACUCUAGUUUUUUAUGAGAACAGGAGGGAUUUGCACCUCCUACAGUAUUUAUUACCAAACGAAGCAUAAGUUUAGUACAGUACAAAACAUUUACUCAAAAAGAAGGGGGGAGGGGGGGCGGGCAGAGGUAAAUUAAUUAGGAAACAAAAAAGGAAACAAAAAAAAAGUAGAAGGGCAAUUGCCCACAGCCGAACUAAGCAAGGUUUGUGGACCAUUGGUCAAUACUUCCAUUGUCAUUUUCAACUAUAC
rnacentral:lncRNA from 1 species